GAUUUUCAAGCGGGAAUCACUUUCCUUCCAAGUUGUAACACUUUCUAUAAUAACAACAAUUCUGGUUUUCAAUUCAUUGAGGGAGGUCACAAGAAUCUUUUAAAGAGUGUUUUUCACAUAUCUGCACAGGAAGAAAUCAGACUAUAUAAUACCGAGUGAGCUCGAGUCCAAGGAAUCGGUACUCCACACCCUAUCUAGUGCAUAAGAAAGUAUAUAUCAAGAAAUUCUAUCAAUAGAACAAUAAUAGCCAAUAUGGCACUCUCUAUCUAACUGGAACGCAAUAGUUGCUUGAUGAUAUUUCAAAUGGAGUAACAUAUAGAGGUGGUAGUAUCUCGAGAUAGGUCAUUGCUGUGACUGUCUUUCUCGCAAAGAAAACCAGCCCGAAAUUCCGAACAUGACAAAACACACCAGGCUUUCAACUUUUGCUUUUCUUUCGAAUAUUUAACAGGAUGAAGAUUUUCUAAUCCCUAUCUUUUGCAGUAAUGACGAUUUAACGCCUUGAUAUGCAAUAUAUUGUGUCAUCACUAAAUCUUCAUCUCCAAAGAUAAUUUUUAUCAGCUUUACCUUUUGACAAUAUGUUUUGGAAAAAUGCAAAUAACAAUGAAAAUUAUCUAGUUGUAAAGCCAACAUUAUCUGCAGUAGGCAGGGAGAGAGUUAAAGAUCCUUAUGAACAAUUUUCUGAAUAAUCACAUGUGACAUACCUAAUUGAAAAAAGCUCCUUCUGGUUGAUUUGUGUGGGUUUUGAGAAAAUGCUUCCUGAUUUAAUAAACAUUUUCCUGCAAGAUAUUCUGUCUAUUCCCGCUGGAUGGUCGGGUGGUAAAGCAGUCGCUUACUACUUUGCCGCACCAGAUUCAAAUCCAUGUCCUACAUUUCCAAUUUUUCAGGAAAGUUCUGGGCAUGGCUGGUUGAGUUCCUCCUUCAACCUUCCGGUUGAUCUUACCAUGAUGUGUUCCAGCCUUCAGUAGGUCAUACAAAAUUGGCCACAGCCAAAUAAAGCAUAUCCAAUGAGAAUAUGGCGGCUUAAUCAAAUUAAUCUAAUUUAACCUAACCUAACUCGGUUCUUUAAGAUUGAAUACUAACAAAGUCUUGCAAUUACUUUAACUGACAUCGGAUAAUAUUAUAUGAAAGAUGGAUCUUCUCCAUACUGAUAUAUGUGGCAACGCUACCUUGUAAAAUCUUGAGUUUUGGACUUACUUUCCAAAACCAAAGUACGUUUAUUACUUUCUCUCGAAAAUUCGCCAUUUGCAGUAUUAUGUCAUCUUAUUUCCAAAACAGCGUUGUCAAAUAAAACAUGGGGUAUAGUUUCAUAUUCUAUAAGCAGAUUUAUUUUGUUCUUCUGGUUUGAAAAUUAUACCAUACGAAAAAAUGGGAAUAAUUUAGAAUCAAAAAAUAAAAUAAAUCAGAAUCAGAUGGAUAUGCUCUGUAUACUUCUUAAGAACUAUGCCUGACGGUUUCUUCAAUCUAUU
rnacentral:lncRNA from 1 species